AAAAUCGAAGAAAAGCACACCUCCAUUCCCUCUUUUUCCAUUUUUUUUCUUAUUUCUUUCUCUUUCUCAUUCCUUAUUUCUGCACUAUCAGAAAAGGGGAAGAGGGA
rnacentral:ribozyme from 13 species